rnacentral:rRNA from 1 species
UACGUAGGGGGCAAGCGUUGUCCGGAUUUAUUGGGCGUAAAGAGCGUGUAGGCGGUUUGGUAGGUCCGCUGUGAAAACUCGAGGCUCAACCUCGAGACGCCGGUGGAAACCAUCAGACUAGAGUCCGGAAGAGGAGAGUGGAAUUCCUGGUGUAGCGGUGAAAUGCGCAGAUAUCAGGAGGAACACCGGUGGCGAAGGCGGGUCUCUGGGCCGAUAUUGACGCUGAGGAGCGAAAGCGUGGGGAGCAAACAGG